CCGCGUCUCCGUGGGAACCGUUGCCACGGCAACAGCUUGCAGAGGCCUGAAAAUACACCUGGCACACGCAGCCUGACUAAUGUGUUGUUUCCUCGCAUUGGGAUGGAUGAGAUUUUUCACACUUUCCAUUGGACUUCUGAGCCGAGUUUUACUGCAGAUUCUGUAAAACUCGGAGCCAGCGCAGGUCGGCCCGUUUGGUCGGGAAGUUUCUACGGCUAAAGUCUGUUUUUGAGAGCUUUGGAGACUCAAUGUCAGCGUCUGUCAACCAGACUUUCAGGUACAGGAUGCCAGUGGCAGCCUAUGAGGCAAACACUGUGUUUACUUGUUAAACAAGCUGCAAGCACUCAGUUUGGACUCACACUCCAACCACUUCAGUUACAUUCAGCAGACUCCAGYCCACUCAUGUCUCCUUCUUCUAAAACCCUUCUGGAGGCAUUUCCCCCUGAUGUCUGAUUCCCUCUGCUAAUAAAAUCACURGGACUGCUGCAUGCGUGACGUUUGAGGCCAUGAAUACAUGCAAUGGCCACAAAGCAAAGAUUACCUGAUAGUAGGAGUGGCUUUGUGAAUACAGGGAGGAG